UGAGCUUUGUUUUUCAGGCCAGACACCAGU
rnacentral:piRNA from 1 species